rnacentral:misc_RNA from 1 species
GAAAUCAUCUCCUCUCCACUAGCUUGCAAGUUGAAUGGGUAUCUUGGGGGCUAUGGAGAAUAUGAGGAUUUCCUAAAGGACACAGAGGGUAUGUCACUGACUAGAAAACAACUUGGUUACGUUGAACAGCAGCUGAAGAAAGCUCCACAUUUCUAAUAAAUUCUACACGAGAAGUUCUCAUCAUAUGUUGACUGUUUUGUUUGUGAUAUUCUUUUAUUCCACAUUUUCCACCCCUGUAGUUUUUAAUCAGGUGAUAUAUUUCUGUGAUACAGUUUUAAUGUUUUUCAUGCUUGUGUAGAUCAAAUUUCGUUUCUUUCUGAUGAUUUUUCUUGAUAAAAGGUAGAUGUUUUCAUCCUUCAAGAAAAUGAUGGUUUUAAAAAGAACUGGAUUUCUGUACACAAAUAUGAAAAAUUUUGAACUGCAUGAUAUACAUAUAAUUUGUGUUUAAAAAUUGAUUUAAUUGGUUCAAAUAAACAUGCUAAAAAUUUU